UCGCCCUUCGUUUUUUUAUGUGAGGGGUUGGGCCUGCCCGGUGAUUAGUCAAAUUUUGAAAUUAUUUUGUAGUAACUAGAAAUUUUUUUAAACGGCUGCAAUUAGAAGUUGUGCUAAGGUAGCGUAAUCAUUUGCCCCCUAAUUAGGGGAAGGUAUGAAUGGUUUGACGUGGGAAAAGCUGUCUCUUUUAUAUAAAAAGAAGUUUAUUUUUGAGUGAAAAAGCUUAGAUGUUUAUAAAAGACGAGAAGACCCUAUCGAACUUGAAUUAUGUGUUUGAAUUUUUGGAUACAGAAAGUUUAGUUGGGGAAACUUAAAGUUAAAGAAAACGCUUUUUUGUUAUAAGAUGAUCCUUUAUUAUGGAAAAAUGAAAAAGUUACCGUAGGGAUAACAGCGCUUUCUUCUCUGAGAGGACUAAUUAAAGAGUUGGUUGCGACCUCGAUGUGGAUUAAGGUUUCUUUUUGGGGUAGGGGUUAAAAUAGUAAAACUGUUCGUUUUUUAAAACCUUA
rnacentral:rRNA from 1 species